CUGGAGGGGCUGCUUGUGAAAGCAUUGGUGUCACUUGUUAAAAACGCUCAACAAGAGAAACGCGCGAUUGGCAAAAGAGCUGAUCAAGUUGCGGGAGCUCGUGUUUGCAGUUACAAAUGCUCGAGCUGAGAUGAGAUGAGCCUUCAGCGCGCGACAAGGAGAGAUGAUGAUUGUUAGAGAGCUGCUGCGCGUCUGCGCCUUUUGCUUGAAGUGUCAAAGCUGAGCCGGAGCUGCUGCAGCGAGACAGGCAGGCGAGCAGGCGGGCAGGGCUGGGGCUUCUGCCGCCGCCGCCGCCGCCGCCGCCGCUGACACGGUGAAACGGUGCCUGAGCUGCUGAUUGACAACGCUUUGGCUGGAUCCUGACACGGAAGCUUGUAAAGGAGCAGAUAAAGCGUCGACUUCCAGGGGAGGGAGAGAAAAACACGACAAACCUUUGCUUAGGUGGUCUUACGUGUCUAAGGGUGGACCCCUGCUCGGACUGUGGAUUAUUCCGAAAACAAGCGGUUAUAAAAUUCUAGGGUGAAGUUGCUGUGGCUCGAAAAAUGUCUUGGCUGGUGGGCAGAGAGUGUGAGAGGGCACAGUGACCUGCUCAGGGCAGUCCAGAAGACCUCAGUAGCUUAACAUUUGGUGAGUGGCUUGUAUGUGUAGUGAGCUCUAAGUGUUACUAGUGUUUCAGAGAGUGUCUCGCAAACUUUGGUCAUGGCACUUCCAUAAGUGUUUUGUUUCUUUUGCUCUGCAGAUGCGGCCAGAAAUGGGUCUUCUGUGGAUUAUUUCAAAAUGAGGUCGUCAAAUUCUUGGCUGAGGUGGCUGUCAUCAGAUUGGAAAUCUAGUCUGUGGCUAAGAAGUCCUAAUAAAACUGCGAGGAGUCUGCUGAGUCACUGAUGUUCUGGUUUGGUGACCCUGCACCGAGGACACUGCAACUUUGCAAGUCCCUUCUACAGUGGGCCAGAGAACACUUACAGAUACUUCAUCCCCUCCACCUCUCCAAAACUGCUGUCCACUAAAUAUGAACUAUUACUUGUAUAAAUAAACUGAUUUAUAUUGCUGAAU
ensembl:lncRNA